rnacentral:rRNA from 1 species
CUACGGGCCGCUGCAGUGGGGAAUUUUGGACAAUGGGCGCAAGCCUGAUCCAGCCAUUCCGCGUGAGUGAAGAAGGCCUUCGGGUUGUAAAGCUCUUUCGCAAAGGAAGAAAACUUAUCCUCUAACAUAGGGUGAGGUUGACGGUACCUUGAUAAGAAGCACCGGCUAACUACGUGCCAGCAGCCGCGGUAAUACGUAGGGUGCGCGCGUUAAUCGGAAUUACUGGGCGUAAAGCGUGCGCAGGCUGUUUUGUAAGUCAGAUGUGAAAUCCCCGAGCUCAACUUGGGAACUGCGUUUGAAACUACAAGACUAGAAUAUGUCAGAGGGGGGUAGAAUUCCAUGUGUAGCAGUGAAAUGCGUAGAGAUGUGGAGGAAUACCAAUGGCGAAGGCAGCCCCCUGGGAUAAUAUUGACGCUCAUGCACGAAAGCGUGGGGAGCAAACAGGAUUAGAUACCCCCGUAGUC